rnacentral:lncRNA from 1 species
AUCCUGGCUUUCUCUUUUCCUUUCUCCUAACCAAAUGAGAAAUUUUUACUCUCCUCUUUUUCUCUUCUUUUCUAUCUAAACCUCUGAAGUCAAACAGGGCAUCCAUGUCUUCCAUAUCUAAACAAACAGAGCAUUCUUUCUAAUGCUCACUAGCCGGCGAUUGAGUUCCGACGCAUGGUCACGGGAAGUUGUCCCGAGGCUUGGCCAGAGGCCUAGCAAGGUCCCCGGCUUCGACUUAUGGCGGAGAACGAAACAAUGGUCAAAAACGGAGAACAGAGGCGGCGGUGGUCUCGGCUCAAUUUUCGGCC